rnacentral:rRNA from 1 species
CCUACGGGGGGCAGCAGUGAGGAAUAUUGGUCAAUGUGCGCGAGCCUGAACCAGCCAAGUAGCGUGAAGGAUGACUGCCCUACGGGUUGUAAACUUCUUUUAUAAAGGAAUAAAGUGAGGCACGUGUGCCUUUUUGUAUGUACUUUAUGAAUCAAGAUCGGCUAACUCAGUGCCAGCAGACGCGGUAAUACGGAGGAUCCGAGCGUUGUCCGGAUUUAUUGGGUUUAAAGGGAGCGUAGAUGGGUUGUUAAGUCAGUUGUGAAAGUGUGCGGCUCAACCGGAAAAUUGCAAUGGAUACUGGCAGCCUUGAGGACAGUUGAGGUAGGCGGAAUUCGUGGUGUAGCGGUGAAAUGCUUAGAUAUCACGAAGAACUCCGAUUGCGAAGGCAGCUUACUAAACUGCCACUGACAUUGAGGCUCGAAAGUGUGGGUAUCAAACAGGAUUAGAUACCCUAGUAGUC